AUCUCUCUAUUUCCAUGUAUCUUCAGUUUUUGUCCCCCUUUUUUUGUUGUUUUUGCCACAUACUUUAUUCCCGCAAGCCAAAAAUAAAGCUGGAGAAAGACGGAAGGAAAUUCUGAAACAAGAGUUUUUUUUAAAGAAAAGGGACGGCGGAGUAUUAACGGUGCUGCCUCUGGCUUGGAUCUCCAAUGGCAGGAUUGACCUCGCCUUCCUAUUGAGCACCCUUGAAAUGGAACUCUGAUGCAUUGUGAUUGAGAGAUUAAUUCCGGAAUGUAGAUUGAGCCGGGGACACUCACCGAGGAGAAUCUGGUGAAUGGAAGGGCUGGAUAGAUCAGAGGAGAGCAUGGAACACAAGCUGCUGCUCACCAGCUCCGAUGUCUUCCCAAGAAAUGCCAUUCAACGCUGAUAGCUUUUAGAAUUCAAACUGUGAAUAACUUGCUGUCAAAGGUAGGUACAGAUGGGUGACUGUCUCUAUGCUUCCUUUUAUUUCCAUCAGGAUAUCCUCUCUACCCUACAUUUUGUCCUCUUCCAUAUUUGCCUCUUUCUUCCUGCACCAUUUCCCAUGAGGACCUGUCCUGGGGAGGCCCCCACCUCCACCCUGUAUCUCGUCAACACCAUCCAAAUAGGCAGCAUUUGAUUGCCUGCGUAUGUAGCUCUCUCCAACGUUUUUCCUCACACCAGUUGUCAGGCAGCUUAUCCAAAGCCUGGUGGUAUGUGAACAGAAUUGUCUUCUAAAUAAUUGAUGGGUAGACGGCCUCCAAAUUCCAUCAGACUUUUGCCAGCUAAUCCGUGUCUCGCCCUGGGUUAGAAUCAGAUACAGCACCUGAUUGUAAAAUUUUAAAAAAAGACCCACAAAAUGUGGGAAUCACUCAUCGGAUCAGGCAGGCAUCAAUGGCAAGAACAUUCAGUGCUUCAAAAAGUUGUGAUAAAGGCUGCAGACCCAAAACGUUGACUGGUUAUUUUUUUCAAAGAUGCUGCUCAAUCUUUUACUUUAAUUUCAGAUUUUAAGCAUCUGCAGAUCUUUUUAUUUUUCUUAUUAUUUACAGUUUGAGUAAAUUGACGGCAAGAUGAUCUUCAUGUAUCUGUACGUCAGCCUUUCCCACCUCCUACCUGCUCCAGCAAACUGUGGCAGAAAUCCUUGUCACUUUGGUCAAGAUCUCUGUUCUGACUCAUUAUUCUACACUAAGCCUUUGGUCAUCUGUGAUUUACCAUCCUUGCCCAUCAUCUUUGCUUAUCGACUUCUGACUCCUAGUUAAGAAACUAAUCCGAUUUUUCAAAUUCUCAGUGCUGUUUCUAAUUCCUUUUGUUAUCUUACCUUGCAUAUCCUUCUAAUUUCCCUGAGCCCUUUAACCGUUGGGUUAUUUGCUGUAGUCUAAUGUUUGACCUGCAUUUAAUUGUUCUAUCUUGGCCAUUGUGCAUUCAGCUGCUAAGAGCUAAACUCCGGAAUUCCCUUCUGAAAGCUUUCUACUUUUUGUUUAAAGUACUACCUCCUUAAUCAACCUUUUGACCAUCUGCAGUAAAUUUUGGGUGCCUUGAGAUAUUUGCUAGCUAAUUGGAUAUUAUUGUUGAAAUUGUUAUUUCCUCUUGCAUUCUCCAUCUGCAACUUUUCCUGUCCCCUCAAUGAAUCCCACUUCCCCAACGUUACCUUCCCUUACCCAAUUAACUUGGAGUUCACAGGGUAAAAGUUCCAGAUCUCCAAGUGAGGUGAAUUUCUUGAACAGAUUUUUAUGCCUCUUCUCCUGUGAUUAGAUGGGGCUAUUUGCAAGAAUCAGCUGGGGUUAACUAUCAGACAGGACAUGGGACUUGAUUAGCUAUGUACUUAGAAGCUCCUCUAAGAGCACGGGCCAAUAGGUCUAAGGUGUAACUUCUCUCUUGCUCGCUCCACACCACGUCCAUCAGCAUUGCCCAAAUUCUAUCACUUGCCUGAACAGUAGGAGCAGUUUACAACAUCCAUUUAAUCUCUCUGUGUGCACAGUUUUGGGAUGUGGGAGGAAGCGGGAUUCCCCCAGCACUCCAGAAGGGUCAUAGGGAGAACGUGUAAUCUCCACACACUCGACACCUGAUGAUCGAACUAAAAUCUCUGGUGCUGUGAGGCAGCAGCUGUACAACUUGAGCAUUCCCUCUGUCCUCGGGUAAAAAAUAAUCCCGUUGACUCUGUGGGGCUCGUAAGUUCCACGUGUCCUAGGUAGAUAUAUCUCUCACUGCCACCAAAAACUGAUAAUCUAGUCAUUACCUCGUGUGUUGGGGGACUUGGGCAACUGAUUUUAUUUGGGAAGGAGAUUGCUUAAUCAUAAAGUGUUUUGGGCAUGCAGAAGGCACUGUAUAAAACCAAAUCCUUAUAUUUUUAAACGUGUACCCUAAACUGAGGGCAGGACAGAAAUACAUUACUCCGAGCACAUAUAUAAAAAUUACUGCUAGCAUGUCACACUGCAGUGUGCAGGCAGUAGUGCUCCUCGAGAGGCUGCGGCAUUGUUUAAGCCCCUCGCAUUAUUUGCUUUGAGAAUAGCUGGUAGCUUUG